rnacentral:lncRNA from 1 species
GGCUGAUUGGGGACUGGGUACACAUAAGGUCCCCCACCAGCAGAGCCCAGCAUGGAUACCUGGAGCCAGGAGCAGGCAAGACUUGGAUUCACCCAAUUCAUAUGCUUAAUGCAACACUUCCCAGUGCACACAGGAACAGUGUCCUGGCUUUCCUGUACCCAUCAGAGGUUCCCACACAGCCAAGAUGUCCUCUGGAAGUCCCACCCAGAUGCUGACCUGAUGACUGCUCUCAGAGGCCAGAGACCUGC